GAAUCCGUAGUCUGUAGAAUGGU
rnacentral:siRNA from 1 species